rnacentral:rRNA from 1 species
UACAGAGGUCUCAAGCGUUGUUCGGAUUCAUUGGGCGUAAAGGGUGCGUAGGCGGCGCGGUAAGUCGGGUGUGAAAUCUCGGAGCUUAACUCCGAAACUGCAUUCGAUACUGCCGUGCUUGAGGACUGGAGAGGAGACUGGAAUUUACGGUGUAGCAGUGAAAUGCGUAGAUAUCGUAAGGAAGACCGGUGGCGAAGGCUAGUCUCUGGACAGUUCCUGACACUGAGACACGAAGGCCAGGGGAGCAAACGGG